rnacentral:miRNA from 1 species
CGGCAAGUGUGUGAAGCUACCACA